rnacentral:rRNA from 1 species
UGCCCCAGUAACGGCGAGUGAAGCGGCAACAGCUCAAAUUUGAAAUCUGGCGCAAGCCCGAGUUGUAAUUUGCAGAGGAUGCUUUUGGCGCGGUGCCUCCUGAGUUCCCUGGAACGGGACGCCGGAGAGGGUGAGAGCCCCGUACAGUUGGACACCAAGCCUUUGUAAAGCUCCUUCGACGAGUCGAGUAGUUUGGGAAUGCUGCUCAAAAUGGGAGGUAAAUGCCUUCUAAAGCUAAAUACCGGCCAGAGACCGAUAGCGCACAAGUAGAGUGAUCGAAAGAUGAAAAGCACUUUGAAAAGAGGGUUAAACAGUACGUGAAAUUGUUGAAAGGGAAGGGCUCGUGACCAGACUUGCGCCCGUCGGAUCAUCCGGCCUUCUGGCCGGUGCACUCCGGCGGGCUCAGGCCAGCAUCGGUUCUUCUGGGGGGACAAAAGCGGCGGGAACGUGGCUCUUCGGAGUGUUAUAGCCCGCUGCAGAAUACCCCCGGGGGGACCGAGGACCGCGCUUCGGCAAGGAUGCUGGCGUAAUGGUCACCAGCCACCCGUCUUGAAACACGGACCAAGGAGUCAAGCAUUAGGGCGAGUGUUUGGGUGUUAAACCCGCACGCGAAAUGAAAGUGAACGCAGGUGAGAGCUUCGGCGCAUCAUCGACCGAUCCUGAUGUUUUCGGAUGGAUUUGAGUAAGAGCCUUACCGCUUGGACCCGAAAGAUGGUGAACUAUGCUUGGAUAGGGUGAAGCCAGAGGAAACUCUGGUGGAGGCUCGCAGCGGUUCUGACGUGCAAAUCGAUCGUCAAAUCUGAGCAUGGGG